GAGGGCAGUGAGUAUAAAUCAUGAACCUGGCUAAGUAUUUUAUUUCUUAUUGGAUUCUUGACUGUUUCUUACUUUCAUCAUUCUGUGAGUCAUGACUAACAGUGCUUCUGCUCAUCUACAGUAAUUGAUUCUGAGAGAAAUUUCUCCAAGGACUCCUGCAGCUCUCCUUUGAACAUAUGAAGAGGGAACAUUCUUUCAGUCCCAGAAGCUGCUGAAGCAGAGUUGGAGAACCCCAGACUGAAGGGCUUUGAUUUCACCCUGUACAUCCAAGGGCACAAGGAUCAUAUGAACAAACUAUGCUAGAAACUGCUAUGAGAAGACUGUCCCUUUUGACCUGCGUGACGUCUAACAUUCCAUCCCUCCUUAAGGCUGGAGUGCAAUGGCGUGAUCUCAGCUUACUGCAACCUCUGCCUCCCAGGUUCAAGUGAUUCUCCUGCCUCAGCCUCCCCAGUAGCUGGGAUUACAGGCAUGAGGUGAAAUUGCAUUUCCUUGCCCCUUUGAAGUUACGCGGCCGAGCAAAUGUGUGCGACAGUGCUGUGCUUCACUUGCAGGCAGAGUUUCAAAGCUGUGUGUGUCUCCUCUCCCCUCAUCCUUUCUCAGCCUGGAUCUCCAGCUGACCAGCUCUGAAGCAGAGGCCCCUAAAACCCACAGUAGACAUGCAGAGUGAGUGAGAAGGGAACCUCUGUGGUUAUAAACUGCUAACACCAUGGAGUUAAAUGAUACCACAGAAUAGUCUAUUUUGAGUGAAUAUAUAGAUUAAGUAAUGAUUUUUAAUGAUAUAAGUAAAAAAGCAAACUAUCAGCAAAUUAUAUGUAUUAUGAACAAAGAUGUAAUG